GGGGGGGUCAGAUCUGCAAAACAACUCAGGAAAUGUGCAUUAAAUACUAUCAUCUAAGGACUUCAGAGAGGAGCUAAAGCAGAGGAUACGGGGGAAGGCCUGUCUCAGAAAGGCCCCAUAGGGUCCUACAUCCCCACACUCCUCCCCUCAGCAGAAGGUUCUCACUUAUCCGUCUGUUGAACAAUCACUGAUAGCCUCUAUGCCAAAAGCUAUGUUAGGCCCUGGAAUCAACAGGAAGUUCCAGUUUUUGAACUCCUCCAGCUUUUGCAGGAUUGAGGGGCAGGCGUGGCAUAAAUCAGGGUUAGGUGACAAUAAAGCCUGGGAAAUUGAUAUAAACAAAGCCUGUGAUUGUGCCGUAAAGCACGGUCAGGUGCUGUAAAGCAGCGCCAGGUGAUGUAAACCAGGGUCGGAUGACGCAAAACCCGGGAAAUUGAUGUAAACAAAGCCUGAGGGUUGUGCCGUAAAGCAGGGUCACCGGCCAUAAACGUUGGGUAAUUGACGUAAAAGAAGCCUUGGGGAAGUGCCGUAAAUCACAGGUGAGGAAAUGCCUGGCACCUGACCAAGCUGGGCUCUUGCUGCAAACCCGGGCACGUGAUGUAUGAAUUGGGAUAUAUGAAUACUCCAAUUAUAACCCAAAUCCAAAACUUUACAUAAUGUUUAGUGCAUAGUUUAUGAGGAUUAAAUACAUCAUUUAUGUCAGACGUUACACUUGAGGGAUCAGAUUUCUUGAAUAGAUACCUGCACAGGCCUUUUGUCCAAGUCCAGAGACCAGUAUUCAUUAGGAAGAAGUUCAGUGGCAGAGAAGAAAGGACACUGGGAAUUAGGAUAUUUGUGUCCUGAUCUUGGCACUGCCCCUGGGAAAUUGGCAUCAAUCUUGUGUCUCUGUUUCUUAAGCUGUUAAACAAGGCAAUUGGACUACAUCUGUAUUACUCAGGGUGCUCUAAAAACCGUCUUUGUAACAGCGCUUCUGGGGUCAGGAAAGUUGUUUAAAAAAAAAAAAAAAACCUGCUUACUCCAUAGGGUUUUCAAGCUAUAAUAUUAGAAUUCCCUGGACGUCCAGUGGUUAGGACUCUGCUCUCACUGCCAAGGGCCCGGGUUCAGUCUCUGGUCAGGGAACUAAAAUCCCACAAGCCGCGAUUGGUGGCAAAAAAAACAAACCAACGCCCCCCCCAAAGUAUAAUAUUAAAGUUUAUAUAGAUAAUAUCUAAGAGAUAUAUCAUAGUAUAUCAUGUACAUGACGUAAGAAUUUUAACAUGAUAAAUAUUAAGGUUUAUCUAUAGUACUUAUUAUAUAUUGUGAUAUGCAUUCUAUUAAUAUUGUAAAAUGUAUAAAACUGCAUUUUAGCAACCACGAGGCUCUGAGGAGUCUGUGGGGUCAGAAAAACAACAACGAGCCAUAGAUAGUGUUGACUACAGACCCUCUCUUCUGAGAAAGCUGUUAGCAUCACAUAGGCCACCUGGAGGAUACUGGAUUUGAUGAGUGUAAUAUCCUCUCUACCUCCAACAUGCUAUGGAUAUCUUUAGAAAGAUCUGGCUUUGGUGAAAUGCAACAAUGGCUUAUCUUUCAGGAGGCUGAGGUGCUUUGUCUUUUUAUCUCAAACUGUGCAAACAGUGAGGAGACCUGGAAUGUUCAGAGUACACAGUGACGAUAGUGAGGCUGGUGAGCCUCCUUUUGUUUUCUUCGUAGACAACAGCGGCACCGUCGAUAGCAUCUUCUUUGGCUGUUAGGAAGACUGCAUCAAUUCAGGUGUAAUCUGCCCUUUCCAAUCUUAUUUUGACUCUUUGAUUUGACGAGGGUGUUGUAAUGCGAAGUUUUGUGUUAAAAUAGAGAACACAUUUAAGUCUUCGGAGGGAGUAGUGGCUCCCUUUCUCCACUUCUCAGCUCCUGGUCCCUGCGGAGAGGAUCCGUGCCUCCAGCUGGGCAGUGCUGUCCCCACAAUGACGUCCCUUCUUGAGUUGGGGAUUUGCUCCCUGUGUUGCGCUUGGGGCAGGUCCGCUCUGGGAGGUGGCUCCUCCCACACCCUCACAGGAGUGGGAGUUUCACAUCCAAUCACGGCGCAGGAGUGUUUCGGCAAGUGCCAGGGGACUGGCAGACAGGCGGAGCUGCAGCCGGAAACUCUCCGAAGUCAGCUGUCUUGGGCCUCUGCAUCAGACUGGUCUGUAGAGGGGACUGCUGACCUCAAGCUCACCUUAAAACAACCAUCAAGCCAGGACGAGAAGACGAUGACAACAGUGGACAGCUGACCCAAGAAUCCGGGCCAAGCCUACAACCAGCUAUCAUCAGGCUUGUUAGGUUUGUCACCUUUACCCGAAAAUCUUCUAUUUUGCCAUAUAGACACGCCCCGCCCAAUGAGGACACCAUGCCAGAGGGAGUCUCAGGAAUCAAUGAUCCUGAUGUGGGCUUCCCUGGCAGCGCAGUGGUUAUGAAUCUGCCUGCCAAUGCAGGAGACACGGGUUCGAGCCCUGGUCUGGGAAGAUCCCACAUGCUGAGGA